AGCAGCCGCGGUAAUUCCAGCUCCAAUAGCGUAUAUUAAAGUUGUUGCAGUUAAAAAGCUCGUAGUUGAAUUUCGGGAUCAAUAUUUCGGUCAUGCCGUUGGUAUGCACUGUUAUCAUUGAUUUCUCACCUUCUAAAGAACCGUGAUGCCAUUAAUUUGGUGUUACGGGGAAUUAGGACUGUUACCUUGAAAAAUUGAGUGUUUAAAGCAGGCUCACGCUUGAAUACAUUAGCAUGGAAUAAUGAAAUAGGACAUCCGAUUCAUUUUGUUGGUUUCUAGGAUCGAUGUAAUGAUUAAUAGGGAUAGUUGGGGGCAUUAGUAUUCAAUUGUCAGAGGUGAAAUUCUUGGAUUUAUUGAAGACUAACUACUGCGAAAGCAUUUG
rnacentral:rRNA from 1 species